GAUGAACGCUGGCGGCGUGCCUAAUACAUGCAAGUCGAGCGAACAGACGAGGAGCUUGCUCCUCUGACGUUAGCGGCGGACGGGUGAGUAACACGUGGAUAACCUACCUAUAAGACUGAGAUAACUUCGGGAAACCGGAGCUAAUACCGGAUAACAUGUUGAACCGCAUGGUUCAACAGUGAAAGACGGUCUUGCUGUCACUUAUAGAUGGAUCCGCGCCGCAUUAGCUAGUUGGUAAGGUAACGGAUUACCAAGGCAACGAUGCGUAGCCGACCUGAGAGGGUGAUCGGCCACACUGGAACUGAGACACGGUCCAGACUCCUACGGGAGGCAGCAGUAGGGAAUCUUCCGCAAUGGGCGAAAGCCUGACGGAGCAACGCCGCGUGAGUGAAGAAGGUCUUCGGAUCGUAAAACUCUGUUAUUAGGGAAGAACAAAUGUGUAAGUAACUAUGCACGUCUUGACGGUACCUAAUCAGAAAGCCACGGCUAACUACGUG
rnacentral:rRNA from 1 species